rnacentral:lncRNA from 1 species
CAAGGAGGAACAAGUGGAAAGUGGCUCUGGUCAGACAACGUCUGGACAACAUCCAGAGUUUAUCCCGGGUAGGAGUUUCCUGGGAAGGUCCCGGUACAGGUGCAGGCAAACGGAAUUAUUUUCUGUGGAUUGAAGAGAGAGAGAGAGAGAUGGGAUCCAGGAAAAGCCAUACAGCCAUGGGAUGCUGGGUAGAUGUGUUGGUAGACACUGGCAAAUUUAAAAAAUAGCCUCACAGGUAGUUUUCCUCCUCUUCAACUUAAGAAACUUGACAGAAUCAUAAAGUGGCUUUCUUCAGAAUUCUUUCUCUGUGCUGCCUUCUUGAAUGAACUCUUUUCUGAUUCUUGGUACACCUAAACAUUGACGGCUUUUUUUUUUUCUUUCUUUUUCUUCUUCUCCCUCCACCGCUCCCCCCGGCAAUUUUUUUCUAAUGAUAAGGAUUAUGCUUUAAAAGAGUGGUACGGGUUCAGAAAAUAUGCCCAGGUACCGUAACUUUAUCACAUAUAUUUUCUUCCUCUGUAUAUGAAAAUGACUUCCUCAAGGUGAGGCAGUCAUAAGUUUUAAAUUAUACCUUGUCCACUUACCACCACAUGAGCCUCUGUCUCUCUCCUAGAAGGACACAGGACUAAAGUGCAUGCAGAGAGUUGCCCUGUAACCCGGUGGCAUCUCGGCUGGCUGGUGGCACUCUUUAGGGUAGAUGGCAAUCAGUGGUAUCCCUACUCAAACUAUCUGAUUCAUAUAAAUAGCAUUUUUCUGACUUUUCCAGUAGAUGUUGCUGGAGAGCAAAGAAAAGAUUAUUUCCACCCCCCACAGGAAAGAGAAGAAAAACUAGACUUACAAGAGGCAAAGAAUCAGAGCCCUCUCUCCAAACUAAUUUGCUAAUUAAUGAAUUACAUUGUAUCAUUACCUUUUAUGUCUUUCUAUAGAAAGCUAUUCAAACUUGAUUUAGAUUUGUAAAUGACAAUUUGUCCUCCUUGGGCCCUAUAUAUGAUGUCUGUUUGCUGUUUUCCAUUUUUGUUUUUGUUUUGUUUUGUUUUGUUUUAAAUCAAGUUAGCUGCACAUUGCUAUUCAGAACAUCCCAUCCCUGAAUGCAAAAACCCUUUAACAUGCAAAUAUGAUGUCAGAGGAAGAGCUGAAAUAGAGUACCCGGAGAAGAGUAAUGAUCAAACGCAUUAUAAAAAUAUGCACCAGUUGCCAACAAGUAAUGAAAUAUUAAGAAAUUAAAAGCAUGCAACCUCUAAAGUAAUAGAAUUUCAUUGCUCUGAGACUGUUUUCCCACUGAAUAUUAAGUUCUUAAUAGAUGUACCAGUUAAAAAAACAAAACAAAAAACAAAAAUCGAAAACCUACAUGGUUUGUCAGUGAAGUUCUUUCAUUAUAUGAUGUUGAAAAAUUAGCCCAAUAGGAUUUUCCUCAGAAUGGGAAAUGUAAUUAACAUUGGAUAUUAAGUGCCAGACUGACAAAGCAAAAGCCACACGGCUUGAUGGGGGAAAUAGAAACGCAAAAGCAAACAGGAGCAAGCGCUUAGAAGCUGAGGGGAUCCACGCUGGAACUACUCUGCUGAUAAUCAUUCUGAUAAAAUGACAAAGACAUCCCAGGGGAACCCAGGAUUCUAGUACCCAGACAGGAACUGAUGCAAUUUCAAGCAACCAAUGACCUCUGUCUAUGGGAAUAUUUGUUUUUAGAUAUGAUCAAUUAACCAAUUUCAGUGGAGAAGGGGCAUGUAUUUUUUUUCCCCUCACAGAAGGGGAUUGUUGGGCAUCACAAAACCACUUUCGCACAGAAACAGAGUCCGACCUACGUCGGAUAGCUUUUGGAUCCUGUUACCUUAGGCAGACAUGGCUCUGUGCUGGUGGAUUUUCCUGAUGCAUUGAAGUAUUUCUUCUGCACUUUUCACUCCUGAGGUGUGAAAUGCUCCAGAGGCUGUUUUAAUAUAACAACCCCCAUUUCUUCCUUCCUUCCUUUCUUUCUUUCUUUCUUUCUUUCUUUCUUUCUUUCUUUCUUUCUUUCUUUCUUUCUUUCUUUUCUGGGAAGGAAAGAGUUUAUAUUUAAAAGGCCUGAGUGUCAAGUACAUCUAUUUUGCAAUUAGCACUAGAAGUCCACUGAGGUAAGGACAGCCCAGCUUUGUUCUUCGUUGAUUUACGUACAUAUUUUGUUUGAUGUGUAGUGGUUGGCUUGUUUUCUUCCUUUC